rnacentral:lncRNA from 1 species
GGUUCUGUAUGCAAUUUUAGUUUUCCUGUUGAUAAAGGUGAAAGACACCAGCAUGGGGGAAAUUUCUUGUGCUUUUGGGGUAAAUAGUUCGAAGUUCAAGGUCACUGUUGUUAGUAAAUUUUCUUGUUUCAUAAAAUGAAUAUGGUAUCAUAGGCUUAAUUCCCUUGCAAUGUCAGCUGCUUAAAGGAUCAUAAGUGUGUAAUUCUGAUUUAUUGAGUUCGACAUUGGAACACCUAUCAUUCAUGGAAUAGCAUAUAGUUUCCAAAUCUCUAGUUGGCAUUUGAAGGUCAAUGACUCCAAAUAUCUAGUUGGCAUUUGAAAGUCAAUGACCAAAUCUCUAGUUGGCAUUUGAAGGUCAAUGACAAUACAACUUUACAUAGACUUUAAGUUUAUCAAAUCAUUUGAUUCACAUGCUACUCCGCUUUUAAAUAUAACACAUUCUCAUUUCAGCAGGAAGAGGAGCUCCGAGAGGUGGCCGUGGAAGUGGAAGUGGUGGACAUCGUGGUGGCUCAUCAGGUGGCUUUGGAAAGCCACAGGCACAACAAGUGUCAUAGACAGCAUGUCAGAAGCUUUUUUAUAUAUAAAGUUGUGGAUGGUUAAGCAUGUGGACUGUGGUUUAUUUGUGAUAGCAUUCUUAAUAAUUGAUCUUUGGGCAAAUUUGAUUACAGUUUUUGAAAGCUUUCUUUUCCUUGGGCUUUACAUGUUUGAACCAUGCAUUUGUUAACAAAAUUCUAAACAUCCUCAUUUCACAUCAAAAUACAAAUUAAAAUUACUGUAAAUUCAUUUUGUAUUGAUUGUAAGGGGUACUUAUAAAUUUGUAUGUAUGCAUGUAUGUAUGUGUCAGACCACUCUUUUUUGUCCACAACUUGAUGUAUAAAUAGCAUAAUUCUGCCAUUAUAGACGUGGCAAGGCAAUAUUCAACGGCAAACAACGUUUAAACCUAAGUUGUGAUUGUACAGAUUAAAAUGAACAUCCAAUGAAAGUGCUUCACUCAGAUGAUUUUUUGUACUUUAAUAAUGUGGUGUUGUAGAGACUGAUAUGAACUCUUUUGUACAAAAAUUGAUCAGGAAUUGAUUCAAUACCAAGUAACUUACGUAUUUUUUGUUUAUUCAUUCAGUGCUAUGAUUUUGUUUAUAUUUACAUCUUUGAACAAAACACAAAAGUCAAUCAAAGAUAGUAUUGAUUGCAUCCAGCAUUUUUGUCAAAAAAAAAGAAAAAAAAUAAUGAAAAAAAAAAAUAGAAAAAUUUUCAGACAUUGAUGAAACUUUGAAUGGUGUUAAUCAGAUUGUGAUAUAGUGAUAUAUCGGUGGAUAAUGAUUCUGUAAUCUUUGUAACAUAUGAACUUGUGCAUUAAAAGUUUCAUUUAUAUAUAUGUCGUUUUGUAUGUCAAUCUGUGAUGCCUUUUAAAAAAUCAAACUGAAAUUAUUUGAUUUCCCGAUCCAAGUCCAAAUGUAUAAAAAGUUAACAAAUAUAGGUUGAAUUAUGGCUUUCAACAUGGAACUCUUGGCUCAUACUGAACAGAAAGCUAUAAAAGGGUUAAAAAAUGACAAGUGUAAAGCAAAUCAAACAGGGGAAAACCAACAGUCAAUCUUCAUAGAAAACAAAAACAACUCAUGAACCACACCAACUUAUGACUUGUGACAGGUGCAUAAAAUGCACGGUUUAAAGCUUUUAAAAAUGUCCACCUUCCCUCUAAUCUGAUAGAAAUGGCUUACCUGGAUAAAAAAAGACAUGUGAAGUGGAUGUAAGCAAUUAUAGGCAACCUUACAGCCUUCAACAUCGAGAAAAAACCUAGUAUAGUCUGAUAUAAAAGGCCCCAACAUACGUCUCUCAGAUGAUUCACAUGACCUCGACCUCAUUUCAUUGAUCAAGGUUUAAGUUGCAUGAUAAGGUCUAUUUCUCAGAUACUAUAAGUAGUAGGUCAGUUAUAUAUGGUGUAUGGAUUGAUUGUAAAGUUUUCAUGUCUGUCUGGCA